AUGAACGCUGGCGGCAUGCCUUACACAUGCCGGUCGAACGGCAGCAUGACCUAGCUUGCUAGGUUGAUGGCGAGUGGCGAACGGGUGAGUAAUGCAUCGGAACGUGCCUUUUAGUGGGGGAUAACGUAGCGAAAGUUACGCUAAUACCGCAUAUUCUCUGAGGAGGAAAGCAGGGGACCUUCGGGCCUUGCGCUAGAAGAGCGGCCGAUGUCGGAUUAGCUAGUUGGUGAGGUAAAGGCUCACCAAGGCAACGAUCCGUAGCGGGUCUGAGAGGAUGAUCCGCCACACUGGGACUGAGACACGGCCCAGACUCCUACGGGAGGCAGCAGUGGGGAAUUUUGGACAAUGGGCGCAAGCCUGAUCCAGCCAUGCCGCGUGAGUGAAGAAGGCCUUCGGGUUGUAAAGCUCUUUCGGCUGGGAAGAAAUCGCACCCUCUAAUACAGGGUGUGGAUGACGGUACCAGCAUAAGAAGCACCGGCUAACUACGUG
rnacentral:rRNA from 1 species